UGCCAGCCGCCGCGGUAAUACGAAGGGUGCUAGCGUUGUUCGGAAUUACUGGGCGUAAAGAGCAUGUAGGCGGAUGAAUUAGUCAGAGGUGAAAGCCCCGAGCUCAACUUGGGAACUGCCUUUGAUACUGUUUAUCUAGAGUCCGAGAGAGGUUAGUGGAAUUCCCAGUGUAGAGGUGACAGUCGUAGAUAUUGGGAAGAACACCAGUGUCGAAGGCGGCUAACUGGCUCGGUACUGACGCUGAGAUGCGAACGCUUUGUGCGAAAACAGGAUUCGAUC
rnacentral:rRNA from 1 species